rnacentral:rRNA from 1 species
GAUGAACGCUGGCGGCGUGCCUAAUACAUGCAAGUCGAGCGAACGGACGAGAAGCUUGCUUCUCUGAUGUUAGCGGCGGACGGGUGAGUAACACGUGGAUAACCUACCUAUAAGACUGGGAUAACUUCGGGAAACCGGAGCUAAUACCGGAUAAUAUUUUGAACCGCAUGGUUCAAAAGUGAAAGACGGUCUUGCUGUCACUUAUAGAUGGAUCCGCGCUGCAUUAGCUAGUUGGUAAGGUAACGGCUUACCCAGGCAACGAUGCAUAGCCGACCUGAGAGGGUGAUCGGCCACACUGGAACUGAGACACGGUCCAGACUCCUACGGGAGGCAGCAGUAGGGAAUCUUCCGCAAUGGGCGAAAGCCUGACGGAGCAACGCCGCGUGAGUGAUGAAGGUCUUCGGAUCGUAAAACUCUGUUAUUAGGGAAGAACAUAUGUGUAAGUAACUGUGCACAUCUUGACGGUACCUAAUCAGAAAGCCACGGCUAACUACGUG